rnacentral:rRNA from 1 species
UACGUAGGACGCAAGCGUUGUCCGGAAUUAUUGGGCGCAAAGAGCUCGUAGGCGGCUUGUCACGUCGGGUGUGAAAGCCCGGGGCUUAACCCCGGGUCUGCAUUCGAUACGGGCUAGCUAGAGUGUGGUAGGGGAGAUCGGAAUUCCUGGUGUAGCGGUGAAAUGCGCAGAUAUCAGGAAGAACACCCGUGGCGAAAGCGGCUCUCUGGAACGGUACUGACGCUGAGACGCGAAAGCGUGGGGAGCGAACAGG